rnacentral:tRNA from 2 species
GCCAGCGUAGCUCAGUUGGCUAGAGCAGCUGAUUUGUAAUCAGCAGGUCGUGGGUUCGAAUCCCUCCGCCGGCU